UAAGUGGAUAGUGAAACCUGGUGGCUCAACCAUUCAGACUAUUAUCCAAACUGCAAAGCUCGAGAAUGGUAGAGGUAGUUGGAAUUUCGUGUGUAGGAGUGAAAUCCGUAGAUAUACGAAGGAACACCGAUGGCGUAGGCAGACUACUGGACCAUUUCUGACGCUAAGGCACGAAAGCGUGGGGAGCGAACCGGAUUAGAUACCCGGGUAGUCCACGCCGUAAACGAUGGAUGCUA
rnacentral:rRNA from 1 species